GAUGAACGCUGGCGGCGUGCCUAAUACAUGCAAGUCGAGCGAACAGACGAGGAGCUUGCUCCUCUGACGUUAGCGGCGGACGGGUGAGUAACACGUGGAUAACCUACCUAUAAGACUGGGAUAACUUCGGGAAACCGGAGCUAAUACCGGAUAAUAUAUUGAACCGCAUGGUUCAAUAGUGAAAGACGGUUUUGCUGUCCCUUAUAGAUGGAUCCGCGCCGCAUUAGCUAGUUGGUAAGGUAACGGCUUACCAAGGCGACGAUGCGUAGCCGACCUGAGAGGGUGAUCGGCCACACUGGAACUGAGACACGGUCCAGACUCCUACGGGAGGCAGCAGUAGGGAAUCUUCCGCAAUGGGCGAAAGCCUGACGGAGCAACGCCGCGUGAGUGAUGAAGGUCUUCGGAUCGUAAAGCUCUGUUAUUAGGGAAGAACAAAUGUGUAAGUAACUAUGCACGUCUUGACGGUACCUAAACAGAAAGCCACGGCUAACUACGUG
rnacentral:rRNA from 1 species